GCCCAACAGCUAGCCCACCCAAACAACUCCAACACCCCCUUGUUAAUACCCCCUAAAUACCCCAGUGUUUAAUUUAACCAAACCAUUUUUCCCCCUUAGUAUAGGCGAUAGAAAAGGAACUACGGCGCAAUAGAGAAAGUACCGCAAGGGAACGCUGAAAGAGAAAUGAAACAACCCAGUAAAGCCCAAAAAAGCAGAGAUAAAUACUCGUACCUUUUGCAUCAUGAUUUAGCAAGUGAGCCCCAAGCAAAGAGCACUUUAGUUUGACGUCCCGAAACUACGUGAGCUACUCCAAGACAGCCUAUUAAUAGGGCGUACCCGUCUCUGUUGCAAAAGAGUGGGGAGAGCUUUGAGUAGAGGUGACAAACCUACCGAACCUAGUAAAUAGCUGGUUGCUCAAGAAAUGAAUAGAAGUUCAGCCUCCUGGCUUCUCUUUUCACCCUAGUUUAACCCCUAUUGAUGUAUUAAAGAAACCGGGAGAGUUAGUCAAAGGGGGUACAGCCCCUUUGAAUCAAGACACAACUUUAUCAGGCGGGU
rnacentral:rRNA from 1 species